GGCCUCAUCUCAGCAGGGCUCCAUUCUCUCGGCGCACUUCUUCCUAAAUCGCGCUCUCUCCCGACGGCCGAUUUCGCUCGCCUCUCCCACGACCUCCACGCUUUUGGCGGUUCUUCCCUCGCGGUUCGGUAAGGUCUCGGGUAUGCUCUCGUGCUGCGUGUCUUCUUCCUUGCUCAGCAACACCAUACUGACUCUCUCUCUCUGAGUGUGUCUCUCUGUGCAUUCUUUCAUCCAUGAGGCAAGCAUUUCGACUAGGGUUCAGGCCCCCUGAACCCUAGUCGAAAUGCUUGCAAGGGAGAUUAUUGAGCAGGGAAGUGAAUUUUACUGAUGGAAAACCAUGAGGUCUUGAGAAUUUGCCUUCAACGAAGAGCAAGGUCUUGAGAAUCUGCUUCGUUUGGGUCAAGAUGGUGGGCUCCGCAGCCGCACAAGUCCAUGGUCUCGCGCUGUAUGGUCCGGGCUUGUAGCUCCGUCGACGGCAGAAGCAAGGUCUACAGAGAACUCGGAAUCUUUAUGGCAAGUGAAGAUGCCAGACUACAAAAGGUCCCAUCCUUUCCAUCAAUAACUGAGGCUUUUUUGGAAGUGCCACCACAGCCAAUAUAUUUCCCAACUUCCAAGUGCCACAUGGAUAUGCUGCCGAGGCAAGAACAAGCUAAGCUUGCAGCUUGUCCUGGUAGCAGCAUUGUCACGGGAAGCUCUGGCAAGAGUGGGAAGCACACAGUUGCUGGUGCAAGGGCUGUGCAAGGGUUGUGCUGGAUAUCAAAGUCUCCUCAAUCGGAGUUCACCAAAAUCCAAUGCAAGUGGUAAUUCAGCUAUAAUGUUAUUCAAAAGUUUUGGACCUACUGGGUGCACUGCCUGAUGAAAGCAGGUGGAUUUGAUCGGGUUCAACUGCAGGUGCAGCAACUUCCUAUAAUUCAGCACGGGUGGCCCUAAUCCAAAGCAGUUUGCACUAAAUAGAUGAGAUUAGACGGAUGACCUCCGGUUGCUCUUCGAGAUGGUGCAUCAGCAUCACUAUUCUGAUAUGCAUGGCUGCCCCUCUGAUCACUGGACCGCUGCCCAGGAUGCUCUUGCUAAAGAAUCCCCAUCCGUCAUCAAGGCAAUAAGAAUUUGAUAAUAUCUUAGAAUGCGGGAGCUGCGUUGAAGGGUCUCAGACUAGUCUGAUGCUAGUUUGACUUCCUGUGAGCGCAGCAUGCCAGCUAGCUCAUGUCUUGAAGCUUUAGCAUUGAGGACAUUUUCUCAUGUAAACAGCAUUUGCAACACAGCUUAUGAUAGCACAAUUUACUUGUUGCUGGGUAUGGAAUUUGUGUCUCUAACGACAUGCCACUCGGAAUCUCGGAUGGAUGGUGUCAUUCUGGUUGUAAAAAUUUGUGAUUUGAAGUAUUACUAGUUAAGAUUUGGCAAA